rnacentral:rRNA from 1 species
ACCUGGCGGCGUGCCUAUACAUGCAAGUCGAGCGGAGCGAUUGGAGUGCUUGCACAAAGAGAGCUUAGCGGCGGACGGGUGAGUAACACGUAGGCAACCUGCCUGUAAGACUGGGACAACCACUGGAAACGGUGGCUAAGACCGGAUAGGAGUACAUCUUGCAUGAGAUGGACUGGAAAAAAGGGGUAACUCUUUACUUACAGAUGGGCCUGCGGCGCAUUAGCUAGUUGGUGAGGUAACGGCUCACCAAGGCGACGAUGCGUAGCCGACCUGAGAGGGUGACCGGCCACACUGGGACUGAGACACGGCCCAGACUCCUACGGGAGGCAGCGGUAGGGAAUCUUCCGCAAUGGACGCAAGUCUGACGGAGCAACGCCGCGUGAGUGAUGAAGGUUUUCGGAUUGUAAAACUCUGUUGCCAGGGACGAAAGACUAGGAGAGGGAAUGCUCCUAGCGUGACGGUACCUGAGAAGAAAGCCCCGGCUAACUACGUGCCAGCAGCCGCGGUAAUACGUAGGGGGCAAGCGUUGUCCGGAAUUAUUGGGCGUAAAGCGCGCGCAGGCGGUUUUUAAGUCUGAUGUGAAAAGGCAGGGCUCAACCCUGUUUGGCAUUGGAAACUGGAAGACUGGAG